rnacentral:lncRNA from 1 species
CAGAGCUUAGGAAGCUUAUGGACACUGACCAAGGCAUUUAAUUGAAGCAGGAGAAAAAGGAGAUAAGAAAACCUUCUGGAUUGGAAAGGGGCUCUGAUCCAUACCCCAAGAGAGGGUUGUUGAAUCUCUUGCAAGAAAGAAUUUGGGAAAAUUGAACAGAAGCUUGAUGACUUCCCAAGAACAAUUUGGUAGAAAAGAGUGCUGAUGAAGAAGAGAGGACAACACAAAAGAAGACACAGAAGCACCAUGGGCAAACCAUGGAACAAGAACUGGAAUGAAUAUCUAUUCCACUACCUGAACUAAAGACUGCAGACGGAGAAAGGGAAGACAGGGGUUUAACUGGCAAUUCAAAGUGAGGUGAUCAGCCUUCUGUUACAGAGUUAACUGUGUGUGAAAGUGCUAUCAAGGCCCUUCAGUACAAGAUUGAAGUGAAGUGAUGAUAUUUGACAUCCUUGACUUCAAAGGAAAGCUUUGAAAAUCUCACCAUUAGAUAAGAUGCUUGCAGUGGAUUUUUUUUUAAAUUUGUAAUUAGCCUUUAUCAGAUUGAGGAAGCUCCAUUCUAGUUCUAGUUUUCCAUGAGUUUUUAUUUUUAACUUUUAUCAGGAAUGGAUUUUAAAACUCAUCAAAUGCUUUUUAUGUAUCAAUGAGUUGAAACCUAUUUUUUUAUUUUAUUCUUAAUAUGACCAAUUACAUUGCCUUUCUAAUGUUAAGCUAACCUGAAUUUCUAGUAUAAACCAACUUGCUUAUGAUGAAGUCUUUUUACCAACUGCUGGGUUUACAUUUUUAAGAAUUUUGGGGUCUAUGUUCAUAAUGAGAUUGGACUGUAUGUUUCCCUUGUCAUACUCUCUUGAUUGGUUUUUGGUAUCAAGAAAAUCCAGUCUGAUACCAUGUAUUAGAGUUUAUCUUAUUUUGUCGUUCUCUGGAAAUAUGUAGGAUUGAUAUUAAUUUUUCAUUGUGCCUGUUAGUAAAGAUGUUUGAACCUAAACAUUAUUUUGGAGGAAGUUUUAUAUUGCUGUUUCAGUUUCUUUAUGUUUAUCUCAGUUUUUUAUUAUAUCUUUUGUCAAAUUUAUAAGUGGUCGUUUUCUAGAAAUUUUCUGGACAGUUUCUUCUGAAUUUCUCAAUUUAUUGGAAUAAAGUUAUUACAUACAGUUAUUAUCUUUGUAAUAUCUAUAGAAUCUCCUGUUUUAUUCCUGAUGUAAGUUAAUUUUCUCUUCUUAAUUAUUCUCUUGAAAAAA